UGAUAUUUAUUCUUCUAUUUUCAUGCCUUAUUGUAAUCAAGAGUACAAUAUCACUUAGAUAGUUCCCGAUUUUCCCCUUAAUUUCUACAUUCCCAGCAUUCCAUUGGGGCAGUGUUGCAAAAACUGAAGAUGACUAACUGAUCUUGACCUGCAACAGAAGCAGUUUGGCGGUUUUGGACGAACAAGAGGGUUCAUUCACCUAGAAGACAAAGAAGUGGGAAAGCAGAGGCCUUUGUCCGCAAAGAACAGCAAAAGAUUCAUAUGUAAGCUGGAAAGCAGGAAGAAGGUCCUGACAACGAUUGACUGGCCG